rnacentral:rRNA from 1 species
CAGCAGCCGCGGUAAUACGAAGGGGGCUAGCGUUGCUCGGAAUGACUGGGCGUAAAGGGCGCGUAGGCGGUUUAUACAGUCAGAUGUGAAAUUCCUGGGCUCAACCUGGGGACUGCAUUUGAUACGUAUGGACUUGAGUGGAGAAGAGGGUCGUGGAAUUUCCAGUGUAGAGGUGAAAUUCGUAGAGAUGUGGAGGAACACCAGUGGCGAAGGCGACUCUCUGGUCUGUAACUGACGCUGAGGAGCGAAAGCGUGGGGAGCGAACAGGAUUAGAUACCCCCGUAGUCCCUGUCUCUUAUAC